GACGAACGCUGGCGGCGUGCUUAACACAUGCAAGUCGAACGGAAAGGCCCUGCUUUUGUGCGGUGCUCGAGUGGCGAACGGGUGAGUAACACGUGAGUAACCUGUCCCUGACUUUGGGAUAACUUCAGGAAACUGGGGCUAUUACCGGAUAGGAGCUCUUGCUGCAUGGUGGGGGUUGGAAAGUUUCGGCGGUUGGGGAUGGACUCGCGGCUUAUCCGCUAGUUGGUGGGGUAGUGGCUUACCAAGGCUUUGACGGGUAGCCGGCCUGAGAGGGGGACCGGCGACAUUAGGACUGAGGUACGGCCCAGACUGCAACGGGAGGCAACGGUGGAGAAUAUUGCACAGUAGGCGGAAGCCUGAUGUGACAACGCCGCGUGCGGGAUGACGUGCUUCGGGGUGUGAACCACUUUCGCCUGUAACGAGGCGUGAGUGACGGUAAUGGGUAAAGAAGCACCGGCUAACUACGUG
rnacentral:rRNA from 1 species